CCAAAAUGACUAAUCCUCAAGAUAAUUCAGGAACCCCACCACCAGUGUCACUCAACACCACCUCAUCCUCUACUCCUCCUGUUGAACCCCUAAAACCCAGAUUUCAUCGAACAAAAAUGAUUGCUAGAAAAGCAGUGGCUACUGGACCUUUAAGAAAAUCCUUAUACGAGAAGCUAAAUGCAAGUCAAAAGAAGAAACCCCAAG
rnacentral:lncRNA from 1 species